rnacentral:misc_RNA from 1 species
GAUGAAGAACGCAGCGAAAUGCGAUAAGUAGUGUGAAUUGCAGAAUUCAGUGAAUCAUCGAAUCUUUGAACGCACAUUGCGCCUUCUGGUAUUCCGGGGGGCAUGCCUGUCCGAGCGUCAUUACAACCCUCAAGCUCAGCUUGGUGUUGGGCCCCGCCGCCCCGGCGGGCCCUAAAGUCAGUGGCGGUGCCGUCCGGCUCCGAGCGUAGUAAUUCUUCUCGCUCUGGAGGUCCGGUCGUGUGCUCGCCAGCAACCCCCAAUUUUUUUCAGGUUGACCUCGGAUCAGGUAGGGAUACCCGCUGAACUUAAGCAUAUCAAUAAGCGGAGGA